CCACGGAAAGCUUCAGACAACAUCAGGGC
rnacentral:piRNA from 1 species